rnacentral:rRNA from 1 species
AGUGAACGCUGGCGGUAGGCCUAACACAUGCAAGUCGAACGGCAGCACAGGAGAGCUUGCUCUCUGGGUGGCGAGUGGCGGACGGGUGAGGAAUACAUCGGAAUCUACUCUGUCGUGGGGGAUAACGUAGGGAAACUUACGCUAAUACCGCAGACGACCUACGGGGGAAAGCCGUGGAUCUUCGGACCUUCCGCGAUCGCAUGAGCGGAUGUCGGAUUAGCUAGUUGGCGGGGUAAAGGCCCACCAAGGCGACGAUCCGUAGCUGGUCUGAGAGGAUGAUCAGCCACACUGGAACUGAGACACGGUCCAGACUCCUACGGGAGGCAGCAGUGGGGAAUAUUGGACAAUGGGCGCAAGCCUGAUCCAGCCAUACCGCGUGGGUGAAGAAGGCCUUCGGGUUGUAAAGCCCUUUUGUUGGGAAAGAAAUCCAGCUGGCUAAUACCCGGUUGGGAUGACGGUACCCAAAGAAUAAGCACCGGCUAACUUCGUGCCAGCAGCCGCGGUAA